UUCACUUUAUACAGCUGUAACAGCUGGCUCUUUACAAUUCAGCUCCAAAAUUGGCGCCCAAACUUCAAUUUAAAAUUUAAAAACAAUCAAUCUUGGAGCCAAUUUGCUGAUCUUGAUGCCUAUAAAUAUCAGAUUAUUUCAGCCAAUAUUUUCAAAAUGCAAACUUUCUCUCUCUAAUAUUUGUAAUUCUAAUUCUUUUGUAUGUUUUUAUGUGAUCAAGAUUGGAGCAUAGAAUCCGCAAACGCCAAUGGAGCACAGAAUCUGUAAAAGCCACCAAAAAAAAAAGGUUUAGUGAGAAUAUUCAAGAUUUUCAGCAAGUUGGCAUGAAGAAGAAGAAAUUUCAUAUCACCCAUAAAAGAGUUCCCUGAUGUUAAUGAAUGAUACAUUUCGAUAGGUUUCAAAACCAAGAUUAUAUUUGUAUAUUUAUAAUCUACAUUGGAAAUUUUGAUGGAGGACAAAGAAAUACAAGCAUGUGGAUAUAUUUCAUUUUCA